CUGAAGGGAAGAUGGCAUGACUUCUGCCAGAAGGUGCAGUUUUUUGGUGUAUGGAAAAAGGCGCUGAAACCCCCAAUCGGAAUGGACAAAGCUGAACAGGCUCUUGAGAUCCACGUGUGCUGCCAUUACUGUUCCCCUCCACGUCUGCUCCUCCAAAGAGGGUACGAGAUGCGAAUGAGGCUCUGGUACAUGUCCUCGAGGAAACAGAAGACCCCAAUUCCUACUUAAAGAAACGCCCUCUCUCCUGCCCAGUCCUGAUA